rnacentral:misc_RNA from 1 species
AACGGUCUAUACCUGCGGUACCUGCGGAGGGAUCAUUAAUGAAUGAAAUUGAGUGGGGUUGUAGCUGGCCUUUUACUAGGCAUGUGCACGCCUCAUUCAACCACCUUCACACCCCUGUGCACUUCUCAUAGGUUGGGUUGCGUCUGAAAUAUUGACAAAGCCUGGCCUAUGUGCUUAUACAAACGAAUAAAGUCAUAGAAUGUUUUUAUUAAUGCGUAACAGCAUAUAAUACAACUUUUA